rnacentral:sRNA from 1 species
CCAGGGUUCCACAUGUUGCUCUCCCAAUGUGAGCAAGCCCUGGUGGCAGCUGCCAGGGUCCAGUGCAGCCCCUCCCCACAGCAUGCUGGGGGCUAAUUCUGAUGUCAUCUUUCUGCAGAAAACCAUUAGCCCAUCCCUCCAGACUGCCACCCUCAAAGCCGUCUGCCCAGGCCCCAUCUGACACUCUUGACAUCUGCAGGUCCCAGACCCUAUGAUGUGUCCACUCUGGAGGCUCCUCAUCUUCCUCGGGUUGCUGGCCUUGCCCUUGGCACCACACAAGCAGCCUUGGCCUGGCCUGGCCCAAGCCCACAGAGACAACAAAUCCACCCUGGCAAGAAUUAUUGCUCAGGGCCUCAUAAAGCACAACGCAGAAAGCCGAAUUCAGAACAUCCACUUUGGGGACAGACUAAAUGCCUCAGCACAAGUGGCCCCAGGGCUGGUGGGCUGGCUAAUCAGCGGCGGGAAACACCAGCAGCAGCAAGAGAGCAGCAUCAACAUCACCAACAUUCAGCUGGACUGUGGUGGGAUCCAGAUGUCAUUCCAUAAGGAGUGGUUCUCGGCAAAUAUCUCACUUGAAUUGAGACCGUCCUUCGAUAACGACAUCAUAAAGAUGUGUGCACAUACGAGCAUCGUUGUGGAGUUCUGGCUGGAGAAAGACGAGUUUGGCCGGAGGGAUCUGGUGAUAGGCAAAUGCGAUGCAGAGCCCAGCAGUGUCCAUGUGGCCGUCCUCACUGAGGCUAUCCCACCAAAGAUGAAUCAGUUUCUCUACAACCUCAAAGAGAAUCUGCAAAAAGUUCUCCCACACAUGGUAGAAAGUCAGCCCCUGGCCUGAUCCUUCUCUCUGUGCUGAUGGUCCAGGUAUGUCCUCUGAUCGGUGAAAUCCUCGGGCAGCUGGAUGUGAAACUGUUGAAAAGCCUCAUAGAACAGGAGGCUGCUCAUGAACCAACCCACCAUGAAUCCAGCCAACCCUCUGCAUGCCAGGCUGGAGAGUCCCCCAGCUGACUUCUGCUGAUCAGAAGGAAAGUCCACAUCUUGCGACCUUAAGUCUCCCUUAGAGUGGGGCUUCUGCUACCCUAAAAACUUUACCCCAGGCUCUGUGGACAUCCCAUCCUCUCCUACAAUAAACUCUAGCUCUGAAGGGUG